rnacentral:rRNA from 1 species
GAAACCGCGAAAGGCUCAUUAAAUCAGCUAUAAUUUAAUUGAUGGUACAAUCAAUGUUACUUGGAUAACUGUGGCAAUUCUAGAGCUAAUACAUGCAAAACGAAUUCCGACCGGCGGAAAGAACGCUUUUAUUUGAACAAAACCAAUCGAAUCUGAAUAACUUAUUUGCUGAUCGCACGGUCACGCACCGGCGACGCAUCUUUCAAAUGUCUGACUUAUCAACUUUCGAUGGUAGGCUACGCGCCUACCAUGGUGAUAACGGGUGACGGGGAAUCAGGGUUCGAUUCCGGAGAGGGAGCCUGAGAAACGGCUACCACAUCCAAGGAAGGCAGCAGGCGCGCAAAUUACCCACUCCCGGCACGGGGAGGUAGUGACGAAAAAUAACGAUGCAGGACUCUUUCCGAGGCUCUGCAAUCGGAAUGAGAACACUCUAAAUCAUUUAACGAGUAUCC